CACUUUGUGGAUCUAAUGUAG
rnacentral:miRNA from 1 species